CCGACUCCCAGCCUUACCGGUCCCGGGAUGCGGGAGGUGGGGUGGGCGCGCGCUCCACCAAUUGCAGCUGAUUCGCCCCGAGCGCCGACUCUUCCCAGCCGCGGCUCGGCUGCGUCCCGGGAGGCGGGCAACCGCACUGCAAGGACGGCAGGGGGUCAACCAGCAAAGUGCGGGGGCUCCGGCAGAGUGCCGCGGGCCGGCGAAGGAAGAGUGGGACGGCGGGACGGACCCUCCCCGCGCCGCCAGAGCCUAGCUUGCAGCUGCCGGCCCCGGUGUGCGGAGCGGAGCGCGCGGAGGGAGGAGAUUUCCCAGAAUGGGACUGUCGGGAAGACACGAAGAUCCCGAUUCCUGGCGGAGUGAGUCAACCCGGAGAGGAAGGGAUCGCGGGGCGACUGCAGCGGACGCGGGGAGCGGACGGAAGGGAGGAAGCGGGGGAGAGGGCAGGGAGGAGCGCGCCCGAGCACGAAGGGAAGAAAGCGGCUGGACGAGCGCGCCUGCAGCUCUGGAGUCCAAGGCGGGAAGACGGACGGCGGCAAGAAAAGAGCACCCGGAGGGAAGCACGCGGCGCGGCGGGCGGAGGGCGCACGGUCGGAAGGGGGCCCCCUGGGGCUGGGAAGGCGCGGCGGGCGCCACUCACCUGACCGGGAUGCGGCGGCGGCGGCGGGCGACGGAACCGGGAGCUGCGGCCCUCCCCACCCCCUGGCUUCAAGUUUGCCAGGAGGACGCCUGGAAUGUGCGGAAUGAAGGCUGGGAACCAGGAAGCAGGAACUCUCAGCUCGACUCCCAGAUCCGCCACUGGUGCCCCCACGCUGGUCCUCUGGUGUCCCUCAGGAUCCGCAAAGCUGUUACUAGGAAGAAUAAAGCACAUGGGAGAAAGCAGUCAGUGUGAGAUCCGUGCGGUAUGGCAAGAGACUCGUUCUGGACUCAGUAGUAGUAAGUCAAUAAAGAUUUAUCCAGUAUGUACUAUGUGCCCACUAGUAAAAACAGGAAGGACAGGACCUCAGCCUCUACCCUCAAAGAGCUUAUAAUUUAGCUGGGAAGACUAAAGGUACAGAAAAAUGUGUUCAUUUAGUGGGUGUCUGGAUCUUAACCAUGCCAAAUUAAUUUAGGGGAAGAGGGAUACAGGAAACACAUGAACUCCUGUAUGGAAAUCUUCAGAACACAUUGACUUGAAGAUAUCUCUGUCAGCCACCUUGUGGCUUUGGGAGACUUGAAACCAGAGGACUUGGCUUUUUUUUUCAAAAAUCAAAUCCAACCUCUAGAGUGAUAUCGUUGAACCUUGUAUUGAAGAUAUUGUCCAGAUCUCUUCUCCUUUGCCAAACAGUAAAUUUAUGUCUGAUUUAUC
rnacentral:lncRNA from 1 species